rnacentral:rRNA from 1 species
GAGGGCCUACGGGGGGCAGCAGUGAGGAAUAUUGGUCAAUGGGCGGGAGCCUGAACCAGCCACGUCGCGUGAAGGAAGAAGGUACUUAGUAUUGUAAACUUCUUUUGUCGGGGAACAAAGGCGGAGACGCGUCUCCGGAUGAGUGUACCCGAAGAAAAAGCAUCGGCUAACUCCGUGCCAGCAGCCGCGGUAAUACGGAGGAUGCGAGCGUUAUCCGGAUUUAUUGGGUUUAAAGGGUGCGCAGGCGGGAGAUCAAGUCAGCGGGAAAAUGUCGGGGCUCACCCCGGGCCGGCCGUUGACAAUGG